CCUCCGGGAGCUUUUAAAAAUCCUGAUGCCCACGCCACUCCCCAGAUCAUUCAUUCACAAGCUCUGCGGGUGGGUCCCGGCAUCAGGAUUUUGUAUAGCUUCCUCAGUGGUUUCAAGCUGCUGCUAACUUAACACCCUACACUGUAGACUGAUUUUUGCCAGAAUCAGCAGGGUGUAGAGAAGCAAGGGAGAAGAAACAAGACCUUUAGGAACUGUUAGCCUGACACUAGGGCCAAACUCUCUUGAGGAAUUCAAAUUAUUGUCACCUUUAAUUUUUUUCCCCACAGCAAAUACAGCCAACAUAAAUGUCAAUUAAUUAAUUGAAAAAUGUACCCAAAGCUGAGCAAUGUAAGGCCCUCUAGCCUGGAACCGUUUGCUUUUCAAAGUUGAGUGUGGUGUUUUUGUCCUGGCCUGUUGCUGACUAGCAUAUAUUUUUAAAAUCAUGAUCCUUUAAGAUAUGUGCCAAGAGAUAAUGUUUUUAUUAAAUCAAAAUGCUGUAUAGAUAUUAAUGACUUAGUUGUGGAACAUGUCAUUAAAAAAUAGUUGUCUUCUCUUUG
rnacentral:antisense_RNA from 1 species